rnacentral:rRNA from 1 species
CAGCCGCCGCGGUAAUACGUAGGGUGCAAGCGUUAAUCGGAAUUACUGGGCGUAAAGCGUGCGCAGGCGGUUAUAUAAGUCAGGUGUGAAAUCCCCGGGCUCAACCUGGGAACUGCAUUUGAGACUGUAUGGCUAGAGUGUGUCAGAGGGGGGUAGAAUUCCACGUGUAGCAGUGAAAUGCGUAGAGAUGUGGAGGAACACCGAUGGCGAAGGCAGCCCCCUGGGCCAAUACUGACGCUCAUGCACGAAAGCGUGGGGAGCAAACAGGAUUAGAGACCCCUGUAGUCCCUGUCUCUUAUAA